rfam:Gossypium hirsutum cultivar TM-1 unplaced genomic scaffold scaffold854.1, whole genome shotgun sequence
UGUUAAAAAAUUCAUCCAUUUCUACUUUUAAAAAUUGGCGUGACCAACAAAAUGUGCACUUCAUGUUUUUAUACAUGGACUAGUUUUUAACAAUAGAAAUAGAUAAAUUUUUUAUA